GCCAGAGCUCAGUGAGGGUCCAGGAAAGCAGACAAAAGAAUCUUUAUCUCCUGCCAUUGGACAGUGGAGGCACUGAACUUUCCAGUAGGGGAGCUACAUGAUCAGAGGCAUUUCAGAAAUUUUAAUCUCACACUGAAGUGCUAGACAUAUUGGAAGCAGGAGGAAAAACAGGAAGCAGCAGGGAGGCUGGAAAGGAAACGGAGUUCAUGAGCCAGGUGUCAGAUGCUCCAGGCUCAUCUGGCAUAUUUACAUUUCCUUGGCAGAAGAAUUUUGGUGGAUGAAGAAACUAAAGAAUAGCCAGGCCAGGCUCACUCCUGUUGGGAGGUUGAAGAUCUUUGUGACUAAGA
rnacentral:lncRNA from 1 species